rnacentral:piRNA from 1 species
UCCAACUUCAGUGACGCACUGCUGGA